UAGUAGUUAUAUUCUUGUACAUAGGAGCAGUAUUUUAAUAUUUUUUAUUGAGCAGUGGCAAAUCUCAUAAGAAAAUAUGGAUUGAUGUUGAUGCCAAGUUUGAUGAAUGGAAUCACUGUGAUAACAACUAAUAAUAAUAAAGUUUCUAUAAAAAUCCAGCAAUACAUUUAUGUAUCAUAAAAAUGCAGUCAAAGGGUUAACCUUCAGGGAAUCCCUCCACACAUCUUGCAUUCAGGGUACAUGUCUGGCUGAAGUCCUGGGCUGUAAGAUGAACCCUCUGGGGGAUAAUGGGCGUUCUAGGCCGGGUGAUUGCCAGUGGGUAAACACAGACUGAACCACAGGGCACACAGGAGAACAGCAGCGACUGUUCUCACCUCAAUGGAGACUUCUUCUCCACUCGCUGCCCCUGUUUACCAAACUGCUGCCUGUUCCGAUCCUCCUCCGGUAGCAUAAACUCCCAACACGCAGAUCUGCACGCAAACGUUCCAGAAAUAGGAUUUGGAAAAGACAGAUCACUGUAAUGUUAUAAGAUAUCAGGGGUAUACAAGGAGUAUGACCAGACGUUGUCACAGCUUCCGUCCGUGUACUAGGCAUGUAAUCCCAGGCAAUCCUAUGUCCAGCGCAACCCCCAACAUGAACUCUUGUUCUCCGAACUCCCAGAGAAUUGAAUGGAGCAUGCUGGGAGUGGUAGUUUCACAACACUGAGUGCCGGAGGUUGUUGAAUCUAGUGCAGGGAUGUCAAACUUGUGGCCCUCCAGCUGUUGCAAGACUACAACUUCCAUCAUGCCCACACAGCCUACAGCUUAUUGGGCAUAUUGGGAGUUAUGAUCUUCCAACUGUCCAUCACAGGGCAGCCAUAUUGGAGCCACAUACUUCCUUCCUGUGUAGACAGUGAGACAGGGUGUGUGCACUUUGUGGCAACUGCAAUGAAUGGAAGUUCGCGGUCAGAGAAAUGUCAGUGGACGGAGUCUCCGGGAAGUGAUGGUGUACGGCCCCUCCCCCACAGACCGGCUAACAGGAUAUACCGGCUCAUUUUUUUGUUCUGUCCACUAGGCCAGAGUGGG